GACGAACGCUGGCGGCGUGCCUAAUACAUGCAAGUCGAGCGAACAGAGAAGGAGCUUGCUCCUUUGACGUUAGCGGCGGACGGGUGAGUAACACGUGGGCAACCUACCCUAUAGUUUGGGAUAACUCCGGGAAACCGGGGCUAAUACCGAAUGAUUUAUUCCAUCUCAUGGUGAAAUACUGAAAGACGGUUUCGACUGUCGCUAUAGGAUGGGCCCGCGGCGCAUUAGCUAGUUGGUGAGGUAACGGCUCACCAAGGCGACGAUGCGUAGCCGACCUGAGAGGGUGAUCGGCCACACUGGGACUGAGACACGGCCCAGACUCCUACGGGAGGCAGCAGUAGGGAAUCUUCCACAAUGGGCGAAAGCCUGAUGGAGCAACGCCGCGUGAGUGAAGAAGGAUUUCGGUUCGUAAAACUCUGUUGUAAGGGAAGAACAAGUACAGUAGUAACUGGCUGUACCUUGACGGUACCUUAUUAGAAAGCCACGGCUAACUACGUGCCAGCCGCCGCUGUAA
rnacentral:rRNA from 1 species